UACGUAGGGUGCAAGCGUUAAUCGGAAUUACUGGCGUAAAGCGUGCGCAGGCGGUUUUGUAAGUCUGUUGUGAAAUCCCCGGGCUCAACCUGGGAAUGGCAAUGGAGACUGCAAGGCUAGAGUUUGGCAGAGGGGGGUAGAAUUCCACGUGUAGCAGUGAAAUGCGUAGAGAUGUGGAGGAACACCGAUGGCGAAGGCAGCCCCCUGGGUCAAGAUUGACGCUCAUGCACGAAAGCGUGGGGAGCAAACAGG
rnacentral:rRNA from 1 species